rnacentral:rRNA from 1 species
CCUACGGGUGGCAGCAGUGAGGAAUAUUGGUCAAUGGCCGGAAGGCUGAACCAGCCAUGCCGCGUGAAGGUCAGUGCCCUAUGGGCGUUAAACUUCUUUUGUGCGGGAGCAAUAAUGGUCACGUGUGGCCAGACGAGAGUACCGUACGAAUAAGCAUCGGCUAACUCCGUGCCAGCAGCCGCGGUAAUACGGGGGAUGCAAGCGUUAGCCGGAUUUAAUGGGUUUAAAGGGUGCGUAGGCUGGGAGGUAAGUCAGCGGUGAAAUGCCCCCGCUCAACGGGGUGAAGUGCCAUUGAUACUGGCUUGCUUGAAUGCGGAUGCGGUGGGAGGAAUGUGUGGUGUAGCGGUGAAAUGCAUAGAUAUCACACAGAACACCGAUUGCGAAGGCAUCUCACGAAUCCGCGAUUGACGCUGAUGCACGAAAGCGUGGGUAUCAAACAGGAUUAGAUACCCGGGUAGUC